rnacentral:rRNA from 1 species
GUGUCAGCCGCCGCGGUAAUACGUAGGUGGCAAGCGUUGUCCGGAAUUAUUGGGCGUAAAGCGCGCGCAGGCGGUUAUGUAAGUCUGAUGUUAAAGCCCGGGGCUCAACCCCGGUUCGCAUUGGAAACUGCGUAACUUGAGUGCAGAAGAGGAAAGCGGUAUUCCACGUGUAGCGGUGAAAUGCGUAGAGAUGUGGAGGAACACCAGUGGCGAAGGCGGCUUUCUGGUCUGUACCUGACGCUAAGAUGCGAAAGCGUGGGGAGCGAACGGGAUUAGAAACCCCGGUAGUCCACGCCGUAAACGAUGCGGACUAGGUGUGGGAGGUAUUGACCCCUUCCGUGCCGUAGCUAACGCGUUAAGUCCGCCGCCUGGGGACUACGGCCGCAAGGUUAAAACUCAAAUGAAUUGACGGGG